rnacentral:rRNA from 1 species
GACGAACGCUGGCGGCGCGCCUAACACAUGCAAGUCGAACGAGCGAGAGAGAGCUUGCUUUCUUGAGCGAGUGGCGAACGGGUGAGUAACGCGUGAGGAACCUGCCUCAAAGAGGGGGACAACAGUUGGAAACGACUGCUAAUACCGCAUAAGCCCACGGUGCCGCAUGGCACAGAGGGAAAAGGAGCAAUCCGCUUUGAGAUGGCCUCGCGUCCGAUUAGCUAGUUGGUGAGGUAACGGCCCACCAAGGCGACGAUCGGUAGCCGGACUGAGAGGUUGAACGGCCACAUUGGGACUGAGACACGGCCCAGACUCCUACGGGAGGCAGCAGUGGGGAAUAUUGCACAAUGGGGGAAACCCUGAUGCAGCGACGCCGCGUGGAGGAAGAAGGUCUUCGGAUUGUAAACUCCUGUUGUUGGGGAAGAUAAUGACGGUACCCAACAGGGAAGUGACGGCUAACUACGUG